UUGCAAAACUUCAGCAUCGGAAUCUUGUGAAGCUUCUUGGAUAUUGCAUUCAUCAAAAUGAACUUAUUUUGAUUUACGAGUACAUGACUAACAAAAGCUUGGACUGGUUUCUAUUUGAUGAAACCAGAAGCUUGAUGCUUACCUGGCCUCAACGUUUCAAUAUAAUAGAAGGGAUAGCUCGAGGUAUUCUCUAUCUACAUCAAGAUUCCCGCCUUCAGAUUAUCCAUAGAGAUCUCAAGGCAACUAAUAUUUUGCUGGAUGGUGACAUGAAUCCAAAAAUAUCUGACUUCGGCCUAGCCAGAAAGUUUGUAGGGCAUGAUAACACUAAUAAGACAAAGAAAGUAGUCGGAACACAGUGAGAUUAUGCUCCUCAGUGUGAAUACGUUUUUUUCCUAGAAAAGAACAAAGAUGAGAUACUAAUCUGUAAAUUUAUUUUGCUUGACAUCUCUGUAGUGGUUACAUUUCUCCAGAGUAUGCAGUGCAUGGUCGUUUCUCAAUUAAA